ensembl:lncRNA
CCUGACUCAUGCACUAAGCUACAGUGUCUGUUAAAUCCAUAAUGCGGAUAUCACAGUCGCUGAGCGGGCUCUGGAGCAGCACAGAGUAUAUCUCCCUUUUUUGAACCUGAUUGCUGCAUUACUUAUACGCAGAGUGGAAGACCGCAGGCUGCCACGUCUUUCCACCAUUAUGGUGAUACUGACGACAGUGACAGAGAGCCUGCACCCAAGAAGGCCCCAACACCAUCAAUACGGCCGUCUUCAGGACCGUCAUUACCAUCACGAUCAACCAACUCCGUGGCCAUCCUACUUCGCCCAACCUCCAUUACCACCACCUCCAGGGCCAUCCUCAUUUUCUCCACUUCCACCACGCUCCCCUUCAAGGCCCCCCUCAGUUUCUACACCUCAUCAGCAGUUAUUCCAACCUCCUUACACCUGUUCAUCUCAGGACAACUACAUCGAUCCAUCUCCGUGCCAUCCACCUCCCGGGAUGUCCUCUGAUGGCUUAGCUAGUUAGAGAUAGAGCCACCGUAUUUAUGCCCAGCCUGAAUAUGGGGCGUUCUGGGAAGGACCCAAUAAUCUGCACACCUGCUGAGCUCCACAUGCUGACACUAAUGGAGAACACGAAGCAACAGCUAAACCAGCUUUCAAUAAAUAUGAUCACGGCCGGAGCAGCAGCCGCUGAGCCUGUUGUGAGGAGAUCUCCUUCCCCCUGGACUCCUCGAGGGGGUUGAUAACUUUGAAGACUGGUUGAAAAACGCAGGCAACACAGCCAAAAAACAGCACUUAUAUAACAUUAAUCUGUCUAAUAACACUUGGUAUUCACAUGGUAUUCAUGCUGUUUUUUGUUGUCAAUGGGCAUCACAAUAAGAUUUGUCAGGGUACCCGGUGAUAUCCCUUGGGCCUUUUAAUAUAUUUUAUAUAUAUAUAUAUAUAUAUAUAUACAUACACACAUUUUCCCAUUGGAAUUAAUGUGAUUUCUGUAAAUUUAGAGGUUUUAUUAAAGGUUUAUAGCUGACAUAUUUUAGCCUGUCCCAUUAGGGGGAAAUUGAUACAACCAUAUAAACCUAAAAUAUUCCCUCAAGAUUUAUGACAUGAGAUAUGUUGUACUCAUUGCUAUGUUCCCCUUACCAUCGUUUAUCAAUCUGUUACCUCUCACUAAUUUAGUGUCUUGUUUCCACAGGGGGGGAUGCUGGCCUCCAUUGGGGGAAGAGAUACCAAACACAUUGUCUUUAACAUUUUGGCCGACAGUGUAGCCAAAUCAAUAAAUUGGAAAGGGAUGAACAAUAAAAAGAAAUUCAGUGAGAUAGGAACCAAAACCAUCAUGGCUCGAGCAGUGAGGAAGAAUCGGCUUUCGAACAAAGCCACAGACACCGAAAUGAAUCAAAUAGCCAUCAGAUGGUUUAAUCUGGCUUGCGCCCGUGGGGGGGCUCGCCGUGCCCGGUCACAACCAACUGAGAUGCAGUGAUCACAUCAGGUUUUGUUCUUUAUAUUUUUACUGUUACUGUUUAUGACAUUUUAUACCUCCACACACACACACACUUUUUUUUCUGCAUGCACACACACACGUACACGCUGUUCAUGCUGUAAGUGCUCUUUUGCCUUAUUUAAAUAAAAAACUAUUUUGAAAAUUACAGAUUGUGUGGGUAUUUGUUUGGGCUAUCACAGACCAGAGCCAGGUGAGCCCCAGAUGUCAAAUAUGAGUCGCGGAUUUGGGCCAGAUCCGUACCACACGUCAUGGGGUUAAUAACUGUACUGGGCCAGUGCAAAUCUGCACAGUGAGUGUGACUGCUGCGCGG